GGGGCCGUAGGGUAGCUUGGUCUAUCCUCCAGGCUUUGGGAGCCUGAUACCCGAGUUCAAAUCUCGGCGGCCCCA
rfam:Thermoplasmatales archaeon DG-70 WOR1_52_54_364, whole genome shotgun sequence.